rnacentral:rRNA from 1 species
UGGCUAGGGGGUCAUGGCGACUUACCAAACCAAGGCAAACUCCGAAUACCGAUGAGUACAGCUUGGGAGACAGAGCACCGGGUGCUAACGUCCGGACUCAAGAGGGAAACAACCCAGACCGCCAGCUAAGGUCCCUAAAAUUGGCUAAGUGGGAAACGAAGUGGGAAGGCUAUAACAGUCAGGAUGUUGGCUUAGAAGCAGCCAUCCUUUAAAGAAAGCGUAAUAGCUCACUGAUCGAGUCGUCCUGCGCGGAAGAUGUAACGGGGCUAAGCCAGUUACCGAAGCUGCGGAUGUGCAAUUUAUUGCACGUGGUAGGAGAGCGUUCUGUAAGCCUGCGAAGGUGUCUUGUAAAGGAUGCUGGAGGUAUCAGAAGUGCGAAUGCUGACAUGAGUAGCGAUAAUGCGGGUGAAAAGCCCGCACGCCGUAAGCCCAAGGUUUCCUGUUCAACGUUCAUCGGAGCAGGGUGAGUCGGCCCCUAAGGCGAGGCAGAGAUGCGUAGCUGAUGGGAAGCAGGUUAAUAUUCCUGCACCGUCGUAUGAUGCGAUGGGGGGACGGAUCGCGGAAGGUUGUCUGACUGUUGGAAUAGUCAGUUUCUGGUUCAUAGAAGGCGCUUAGGCAAAUCCGGGCGCGUAAUUCAAGG